UUCCCCUGACCGACACCCGCUCACAUCCCGGGCUGUGCCCUCCCUCCUCCAUGGCCGGCUGCUGAUGAUGCAAGAGUUGCCGCCCAGCCCUGCCACAGCUGCCAGGGUCACUGUACCAGCCAGGUUCCUAGGUGCUGGGCACCAGUGAAUUCCUGGACUCUUCUGCCCCCCAGCCACCCCCUCCAGGACCAUCUCGCUCACUGCAACAAAAGAACUACCCAUGUUGGGACCAGCCACUGCUGUCCCUUUCUGCCAGCAUGGUAGAAGCCUCCGCCACUGAAAGCCACUCCCUCCGGGACUGUGACUGGGCCAAGGCGGGGAGCACCCACAUGGUCCUGCCUCCCACGCAAGACCCUGCUCCUCAGACAGCCUCCAGCCCCGCUGGGAAAGCUGGUUUCCAGCCCAAAGGAGCUGGGUCACCUCUCCUGGAGACAGUUGCCCCAGGCUUAGUCUUGUGAGGAUUUUCUCAACUUCCUGCCGUGCUUUGUCUUCCCAUUCAGGCCAAUUUUGACAAACAGACAAGGGACUAAAUAGAAGCACCACCCACACGGCAGACAGUCCUGGGAACACUGGGCCCCUGCCUUGCCUCUCCAGCCUGAAUCCAGAGUCCCACCUGCCUCGGCUGGUAAUGCCACUGAAAUGUACACAGUGGCCGUGAAACGGAUGGGGCCGCACAUGGAGGCUGCCCGGCUCCCUGUGGAAAGCCUCAUGCUGCUCUGGGGCAUCAGCGCCAGGAUCCUGAAUGAGACUGACACCAACCUUCCUGGCCACCUUUCAGAAAAGCACCAGACCUACCCACCUGAGGGUCCAGGACCCACCUGACCGAAGACAAACCAGGAGUCUGGGCUGCAGAGCCUCUGGGAGAUGCUACCCGUGACUGCAGGGAAGAGGAGCACGCUGGGAUGCCUGGGCACUUCCUGAUGGCUUCUGGUUAACUCCACAGUCCCGCCAGUCCUCCCACAGGGGGACAGUCCCUGGUGGCUUGCCUUCUGAUUCGCCCAGCCCAGGAGGCCCCAAGAGGUGGGGCAGAAGGAAGUGGAAGUCCUCUGCCCUCCAGGGAAGCUGCUCCCAGCACUCCCAGCCUGUCUGGUGGCCAGGGGUCCUGGGGCUGCCUUAGAGGCCUAGCCCUGGCGCCUGGCAAGUAAAAGAGAAAGCAGAGGCUCCUAGAGGGCCCGACAAGGUCGGCCCACACCCAGUUGCUCUGACCUGGUCACAGACUUCUGGAGGCUUCUUCAGUUGGGCAUGCUGUAUGCAAACACCCUCGCCCUCACCAGCAUCUCGGGACAGUGGGGCAGGGCUGGGCCAGCUGAUAUGGCCAUGCCCUCAGGGCACGUGCAGGGGAGCACACAGCCACACAGCAUGACCAGAACUCACCUUGGCCACAAAAGGGCUGCAGCCCACCUAAUGACCCCCAGGAGGCCACUGCAGCCUGCCCAGGGCCACGGCACCAGCCACCACCCCCGCUGCACACGGGAGAAACGUCCCUUCCAGAAGUGUCACUCGACCUUGGCCACAGGGGCCCACAGAAGAUGAGGCACCAGCUACUAAAGAACCAGGCACAGUAACACAUGUUCGGGAGCCAGGCUGCCCGGGUGACCAGAGCUGAGUCCCUACAAUGGUUCCAGUGAAGGAGUGAAGCCCACAGGAGCACCAAGAGCCUGAGGAUGUUGGCAUGGAGACAAAGGAGAGGCUGCAAGGGGUCAGAAAGGGAAGAUGAGG